rnacentral:sRNA from 1 species
GAGAGAAGAGAGGAUGGAGGGUUUUUACAGAGAGAUCUGUCUCCUUUGGUUAAGUUUCCAUCACAGGCACAGGAAAUAUUAGAGUAACUGAGGGAGGUAACUAUGUGGAAGGAGGGAUGCUGUGGUUUGAAUGUGUCCCCUCCAAAAUUCAGAUGUUGCUACUGUGAUGGUAUUAAAAGGUGAGGCCUUUAGGAGGUGAUUAAGCCAUGAAGGCUCCUCUUUAUAAGGACCUUUUUGGGAUUAAGACUCCUCUUUAUAAGGCCUUUAUGGGAUUAAGGCCCUAAUAAAAGAGGUGUCAUGCAGCCAUUCAGUUAGCUUGCCCUUCUGUCUUCUUCCAUGUGAGGAUGCAGCAAGAAGGCCCUCACCAGACCAAAGGCCAGUGCCUUGAUCUCGGACUUCCCAGCCUCCAGAAUGGUCAUCUUUGCUUUGAACCAGACCCUCCUGCAGCAGGAGAGCCUGCGAGCAGGCAGUCUUCAGAUCCCCUACACGACGGAGGAUCUCAUCAAACACUAUAACUGCGGGGACCUCAGCUCCGUCAUCCUCAGCCAUGACAGCUCCCAGGUUCCCAAUUUUAUUAAUGCCACGCUACCACCUCAGGAGCGCAUCACUGCUCAGGAGAUUGACAGCUACUUACGCCGGGAGCUGAUCCACAAGCGGAAUGAGAGAAUAGGGAAGCGGGUGAAGGCCCUUUUGGAGGAAUUCCCUGACAAAGGCUUCUUCUUUGCCUUUGGAGCUGCUUCACAGUAGCCUUGAAAAUCAGGAGCCUUGAACUACAGUAGCUGUGAAAACCAUUUGCCUAAUGGUUACUGGAGGGGACAGAAUGGGUUCAAAGUUCCUCCAAAGCUCCAUCCUUAAAGAAUUAUCACUAUUUGACAUGUCCAAUAGUUCCCUGAAAUUUCCAUUCCCAAGCUUGUCUUCAUUUGACCUGACUCAGAGCUUGCUCUGUGUGAAUAGCCCUAUUCUUAGGGUGUGUGUUGAAAACAAUCAGUGGCAGCUGUUUAACAUCAUAGUUGCUGGAAAUAGCAAUAUUAAUUGAAGCUUACAAGGGGCUGCCCAAAAAACUUAAAAGCAAAAUCCCAUAGAGGGUAUAGAAAAGCUCUAAAAUAUUCCUAGAGAGCCACAUGCAUGAGAAGAGCUGUGCACAUGCCCAGGAAAGACCUGAGAAGGUCCUAAUCUCUCACCUCUGGCUGAUCUUGAGGCUCUGUGUAAGCAGAGUGUGAAAGCUAAGGCAAAGUCAUAAAUUGCCUGCUGAAGCAUCAAAUACAUGCCCCCAAACUCACACAGCCCCUCUGCAAAGGUUGGGAAACUUGCAAGGAAUUUAAGGAAAUCUCUGUUCAGUCAUUAGCCAGCCACUAAGCUAACUGAGCAGAUCCUUCAGUGAUCACACACAACAAAGAAUACAGACUUUACAGACUUAGUCCCAGAAAAUCACUACACAAACAGCAACAACAAUGCACUUGGGAAGAGGGGAGAGGAGAUGAGUUCCAGAGUUGGUAUAUUAUUUAAAUGUCUGGUUUUCAAUAAAAACAAUUAUAAGACACAGAGCAAAACUAGAAAGUAUGGCCCAUACCCAGGGAAAAACAAGCAACCAAUAGAAGCUGUCCUUGAGGAAGUUAAUAUCUUGGACUUACUAGAAAAUGACUUUAACACUAGUUAUUAUAAAUAUGUUCAAAAAACUAAAAGAGGCCAGGUGCGGAGGCUCACGCCUAUAAUCCCAGCACUUUGGGAGGCUGAAGCAGGUGGGUCACCUGAGGUCAGGAGUUUGAGACCAGCCUGACCAAUAUGGCAAAACCGUAUCUCUACUAAUAAUACAAAAAUUAGCCAGGCGUUGUGGCGCACACCUGUAAUCCCAGCUACUUGGGUGGCUGAAGCAGGAGAAUUGCUUGAAACUGGGAGGAAGAGGUUGCAGUAACCUGAGAUCACACCACUGUACUCCAGCCUGGGCCACAAGAGUGAAACUCCAUCUCCCCCCACCAAAAAAAAAAACCCUAAAAUUAACCAUAUCUAAAGAAUUAAAGGAAAGUUUGAGAACAAUAUCUCACCAAUACAGAAUAUCAAUACAAAUAUAAAAAUUAUUUUAAAAGAACCAAAUAGAAAUUCUGGAAUUGAAAGUGUAGGAACUGAAAUGAAAAAUUCACUACGGGGGCUGAACAGUAGAUUUGAACUGGCAGAAGAAGAAUCAACAUACAUGAAGAUAGGUUGAUUGAGAUGAUUCAGUAUGAGAAAGAGAAAGGAAAAGGAAUGAAGAAAAAUGAAUAGAUCUUCAGAUACCUGUGAGACACCCUCAAGUGUGCCAAUGUAUACCUAAUGGGAGUCCCAGAAGACAGGAGAGAAAAAAAGAAAGAAAUAAAAAGAAUAUUUGAAUUUAAAAUUGCUUGAAAAUGUCUCAAAUUUGAUGAAAAAUAUUACUCUGCACAUUCAACCCAUGAACUAUAAGUUGUAUAAAAUCAAAAAUUUCACACAAAGGCAUAUCAUAGCCAAACUGUCAAAAGCCAAAGACACAGAAUCUUGAAAGCAGUGAGAGCAAAGCAGACAAGGGAUCCCCAAUAGGAUUAACAGCAGAUUUCUCAUCAGAAGCCAUGCAAGCCAGAAGGCUAUGGGAGACAUACUCAAAAUGCUGAAAUAAAAGACUGUCAACAAACAUUUCCACAUCCAGCAAAAAUAAAAAACGAAGGAGAAAUCUGUUGCAUGUGAGCUGAAUAGAAUUUGUAUUCUGCUGUUGUUGGAUGAAAUAUUCUUUAAAUGUCAAUUAGAUCAGUUUGACUGAUGAUGCUCUUCAGUUCAACUAUAUUCCCUAUCUGAUAAUUCCAGAAUCUCUAUCAUGUCUGAGUCUGGGUCUCAUGCUUUCAUUGUUUCUUCAGAUUGUAAUUUUUCUUGCCUCCCAGCGUGACUUGUAAUUUUUAAUUGAAAGCUGGAUAUGAUGUAUUUGGCAAUGGGAAGUGAGGGAAAUAUGUUUUUAGUGUGAGGAUUUAUGUUAAUCUUUCUCAGAGUUGGGCUGUUUAAUGUUUUGCUGUGGUCUGAAUGUUCCUUAAAACUUGUGUGUUGAAACUUAA